rnacentral:rRNA from 1 species
AGUGAACGCUGGCGGUAGGCCUAACACAUGCAAGUCGAACGGCAGCACAGUAAGAGCUUGCUCUUACGGGUGGCGAGUGGCGGACGGGUGAGGAAUACAUCGGAAUCUACUUUUUCGUGGGGGAUAACGUAGGGAAACUUACGCUAAUACCGCAUACGACCUACGGGUGAAAGCAGGGGAUCUUCGGACCUUGCGCGAUUGAAUGAGCCGAUGUCGGAUUUGCUAGUUGGCGGGGUAAAGGCCAACCAAGGCGACGAUCCGUAGCUGGUCUGAGAGGAUGAUCAGCCACACUGGAACUGAGACACGGUCCAGACUCCUACGGGAGGCAGCAGUGGGGAAUAUUGGACAAUGGGCGCAAGCCUGAUCCAGCCAUACCGCGUGGGUGAAGAAGGCCUUCGGGUUGUAAAGCCCUUUUGUUGGGAAAGAAAAGCAGCAGGUUAAUACCCCGCUGUUCUGACGGUACCCAAAGAAUAAGCACCGGCUAACUUCGUG